CCUACGGUGUGCAGCAGUGGGGAAUAUUGCACAAUGGGCGAAAGCCUGAUGCAGCAACGCCGCGUGAGCGAUGAAGGCCUUCGGGUCGUAAAGCUCUGUCCUCAAGGAAGAUCAUGACGGUACUUGAGGAGGAAGCCCCGGCUACCUACGUGCCAGCAUCCGCGGUAAUACGUAGGGGGCUAGCGUUAUCCGGAAUUAAUGGGCGUAAAGGGUGCGUUGGUGGUUUCUUAAGUCAGAGGUGAAAGGCUACGGCUAAACCGUAGUAAGCCUUGGAAACUGGGAAACUUGCGUGCAGGAGAGGAGAGUGGAAUUGCUAGUGUAGCGGUGAAAUGCGUAGAUAGUAGGAGGAAAACCAGUUGCGAAGGCGGCUCUCUGGACUGUAACUGACACUGAGGCACGAAAGCGUGGGGAGCAAACAGGAUUAGAUACCCGGGUAGUC
rnacentral:rRNA from 1 species